rnacentral:lncRNA from 1 species
GUCGUAAAUCGCAAAUUCAGAUUACCAUAUACAGGAUUAAACUGUUCGGGACAUAGCGAAGCACCGAUACUUUUUGGUUAAAAGAAAAGACUGUGUAACGUUAUUCGAUCGGUGUAUUCCUACGAAACUUACUAUGAAUAAUAUACGAACGGCACCGUGUGGCCCAUAAACGAACGGAGUUACUGAAAAAAAAUCAAUCUGCGACAUCGAAGGGGCAUAAUCCAUUGCAGCACUAUCGCACAUCGAUCUCUGGCAACAAACAAAAAAUUACACCACCCGCUAUGCAGUAAAUAAAACUGAAAGUGUUAAACGUGUGUCACCACCAUACAACCUGAGAUGCUACGAGAACCACUACACGUCAGGUGUGGAGUAGCCAGGAGGAGAGUUAAAGCAGAGACGUCCGAGUAACUUCUCCAUUACUCAGCAACGGUGGUGAGUUUGCACGUGUUAGGUUACGGGUAUUUCCCUGGAACUCCUUUAUCACGUGGCGUGGCGGUAACAAUUGUUACACAAAUCUUCUAAAUAUUAGCUGCAUGUAUAGGCUCAUUCGUGAUCGUAACGGUGCUUCACUUCAAUUUGGAUCAUUUUUUUCUGUUGCAGCUGACCUCUUUUACCAUGGUCACUCAAAGUUAGAAAUUUUGCACGUUAAUGAAAAUGGAAUGAGCAUCGCGACAGGUUACCAUCACUUACUCGACAUUCGCGAAAACAAAUUGUGUUUAGCUACAGAUAUAAUAAUCUAUCUUGUUCGAAUUUUCGAAUGACGUCGUUUAAGUAGUGGAUAAACCUGAGGUUUAAAUAUAUUCCAUGGAUUGAUUAAUCGAUAGCAUUUCAAAGUCUGGCAGAACGUAACUUAAUGAAAUUGCGUGAUAUAUCUUGAAUCAUUAUCAAUUUUUUAAUAUCCAGCAACUAUCAAACAACUGCAGGCUUAGCUCAUUUAGAAAAGUGCUGAUUAGUAUUCAGGAUGUUUUUAAUCCAUCUUACAAAAGGUUGAUGUAUCGAUAGUCAGCCAGCAAUCACUAAAAUAUUAUUUUCGCUGACUACCGUACAAAAACCUUUUGCUUCCCACAGGUAACCAAUGAAAAAGUAAGUCACAGUGACCACGGCGCAAAUGAGGAAGAAUGAUGUGUGUUGGAAAGAAUGGAGAGUCGUUUAGAGCGAAUAUAGGUAAUCGGGUAGGUAGGUGAUCGUUUUGGGAUCCGUCGCGGUGUUUAAUGUAGAUGUGCGUGUGAAUCUCUUUUCAAUAUUUUCGUUGGGUGGUUCCGUUGGGAAUUAGGCGAGGGUAGGAAAGUCGCGAUGUCCCGCGAUGUUACCAACUUUUGUAAUCCACAGCGUCAAAUGAUCACAGUGAUUUUCCUCCAGAAAUACGUAAGAGACUUGAGUAUAAGUCUCCGAACUAUUAAUGAGAUUUAAAAUUUUAACGGGGUUCAAUUUUCCUUUUUUUG